GCCUGGGUGGCUCAGUUGGUUGAGCGUCUGACUUCGGCUCAGGUCGUGAUCUCACAGUCUGUGAGUUCGAGCCCCGCGUCGGGCU
rnacentral:tRNA from 1 species